GGUUCCAGACAGAAGAUUCACUCAAUGGAUGGGCAUUACAGGCCACUGAUAUACAUGAGGCCUCUCGCAAUACGGGGAGUGCAAUGGGCAUUGUCGCUGCAAAAGGAAAUCCUUGAUACUCCUAAGAUCAACAUGAUGGCCAGAGUUCACAUGUCCCCUGUGAGCCGCAUAUUCUCUCACAACUCCAAAGUUGUAACACACAAAGUAUUUUAUCUCCUUCCUUAUGCUUAAUGGAGUUCCUGAGAGGCCAGAACUCACUCCCUAUGAGUCCCAUUGGUAUAUAGGCGGCAUAAGCUAAAUAAGGACUUGAUAUGGAAUCUCUUUCCAGAGUAGAGAGUGAAGUUAGGGAGGAAUUAGCACAAACACCAUGACAACGAGAGCUCUGAGUUCUUUUUCUCACUUCAUGGCAAUGUGGCUUUUAACCAACCGUUCGUUUUGUGUCACGGAUGUUUCAUCCAAAUAUUUAUGCAGAUGGGAGUAUUUGCUUGGACAUUCUACAAAACCAGUGGAGUCCAAUAUAUGAUGUUGCUGCUAUACUUACCUCCAUCCAGUCGUUUCUCUGUGACCCUAAUCCGAAUUCUCCUGCAAAUUCGGAAGGCGCUCGGAUUUACAGCGAAAACAAGCGUGAGUACAACAGAAAAGUGUGUGAUGUUGUCGAGCAAAGCUGGACUGCGACUAGUAGUAGUUAGAGUUGUAAGCUGUGUAACUCUCCUGUCCUAUUCUCAAAAUGUCUUUCAUUCAUGUCUUUUGUGUUGUGUGUUUCAAAACUCUACUGAUUGGAUGCUUUGAUGGUUCUAUGAAACCUUUGUACCAAAUCUUUGCUAGGUAUCAGAAACAACUCUGUACCAAAAUUGUAAAAAAAAAAUGUUAUGAUAUGAGACCAUAUCCAAAAUGAAGAAAAUGUAGUUUGGCACCUGGAGUCAACACGAAAAAUAAUCUUUAUCACGAAAAAUAAAAUAGAAUUUAUAUGAUCUUAUGUUAGCUAAUCAAAAUAAAGAUCCGAGUCACAAUCACAAAUGAUGAGUUCAUUUUAGAGUUUGAUAGGAUACAAUUAUGAUAAACGACAUCAUUUGCUAAAUUUUUUUUUUUGGUAAAAAAAAAGGUAUUUUCACUUCUUUACCAGGAACCCAAGCAUUGUAAAUAGUCCCUCCCACCGUGAGUUGAAUCCAAGUAGCAGAAGUUACAGCCGCAACCCCUUUACCACUAGGUCAACUCAACGUUGGUAAAAAGAUAUUAAUUAUACGUCGCAAUUUAUGAUUGUUAGAUUUCAUAAUCUCAUGCAUUAGUUAUUUCAUAGUCAUGGCCAUAUGGGAGUUAUCAUAUUUGCUAUGGAUUUCACUUUGCAUAUGAAACCAGUAUAAAACAAAAGUUCAACAUUGUAGAUUGUACGUACUUAUUACAUGUUCUUUGUAAUACAUACUCUUCGUUUUUCUUAUAUGCCUUGAUCAUUAUGCAUCAAUUUUUGUAAGUUCCAUCAUUAUGAAUAUCGCAACAAGCAUUUAACUUGAAAGCAACAAGAAAUGAUUCUUAAAUUUGAAAUUUUACUCAUACUCUUUCUCAGUUUUUGCAUGUGUACUGUCCUUGCUUUUCUCACACACAAUUUUGAUUUAUCCCAAAGUUUGGAAGCACAUAUUUUAUCUAUUUUAAUGGGGGUUUAUGAUACUUCGUACUACUAUAUCCCUUUAAUUUUUGAGAAAUACCAUAUGAUAGCAAUAAAAAAAUUUACGUCACAAAUAUAGACUCUAUGGAUCAAAAUGAUCAAAAUGUUGUAUUAAAGAAGUAAAUAUACGCCUAUUGAAAAUAGAAUUUGUGUAGAGUUUAAAAAUUUUAAGAGUUAAUAGAUUUUUAAAAUUUAAGUAGAUUUGAUGAAUUCUUACCCAAUGUAUUGUAUAAAAUGUCACUGAUUAUUAUAGACUUUCAUAUAUACUUUUCUUUCCAAACUUAUCUUUCUAUUAUUAUUUUUUUUAAAAAAAUUCUUUCAUAAAUAGAACUAUUUGAAAAUUAAAUAAAAAUUUUGGUUUUUAAAUAUUUUGACAUUUUGAUUUGUCUUGUUUGAUUUUUGUUUUUAAGUUUUUAAGAUCAACCUAUGAAUUUUCUAUGAUUUUAUUUUAAUAUCAAAUAGUUAUAUUUCAUGAAAGAUUUUUUAAAAAUUGUUAUUUUUAAUAAUUUCUUUUAUCUUUAGUUUUAUUUUUACAAUUAUCUUUGACUUGACAAUAAAAAUGUAAAAAGUGUUUGUGUAUUUGUGUUUUUGUGUUUUUGGUACAUAGAUUUUGAGAAUCCUAUGAUUAUAUGUGAUAUUUGUAAAGUUGAGUGUUAUGAAUAAAACUAGAGAGAAUUUAUGUCCCAAUAACAAAAGAGUUUAAUAGAAUUACAAAGU